AUACGUAGGGGGCGAGCGUUGUCCGGAAUGACUGGGCGUAAAGGGCGUGUAGGCGGCCUGAUAAGUUUGGAGUGAAAGUCCUGUUUUCAAGAUGGGAAUUGCUUUGGAUACUGUCGGGCUUGAGUGCAGAAGAGGUAAGCGGAAUUCCCAGUGUAGCGGUGAAAUGCGUAGAGAUUGGGAGGAACACCAGUGGCGAAGGCGGCUUACUGGGCUGUAACUGACGCUGAGGCGCGAAAGCGUGGGGAGCGAACAGGAUUAGAUACCCUGGUAGUCCACGCGGUAAACGAUGAAUGCUAGGUGUUGCGGGUAUCGACCCCUGCAGUGCCGGAGUAAACACAAUAAGCAUUCCGCCUGGGGAGUACGGCCGCAAGGUUGAAACUCAAAGGAAUUGACGGGG
rnacentral:rRNA from 1 species